rnacentral:rRNA from 1 species
GACGAACGCUGGCGGCGUGCUUAACACAUGCAAGUCGAACGGAAAGGCCCUGCUUUUGUGGGGUGCUCGAGUGGCGCACGGGUGAGUAACACGUGAGUAACCUGCCCUUAACUUUGUGAUAACUUCAGGGAACUGGGGCUCAUACCGGAUAGAAUCUCCUGCUGCGUGGUGGGGGUUGGAGAGUUUCGGCGGUUGGGGAUGGACUCGCGGCUUAUCAGCUUGUUGGUGGGGUAGUGGCUUACCAAGGGUUUGACGGGUAGCCGGCCUGAGAGGGGGACCGGCCACAUGGGGACUGAGAUACGGACCAGACUCCUACGGGAGGCAGUAGUGGGGAAUAUUGCACAAUGGGCGGAAGCCUGAGGUAGCAACGCCGGGUGCGGGAUGACGGCUUUCGGGUGGUAAACCGAUGUCGCCUGUGACGAAGCGUGAGUGACGGUAAUGGGUAAAGAAGCACCGGCUAACUACGUG